ACCCUGUUGGUAGCUCAGUCAGUAGAGCAUAAGACUCAAUCUCAAGGUCGUGGGUUCGAACUCUACAUUGGGUG